rnacentral:tRNA from 1 species
GGUCGCAUAGCUCAGUUGGGAGAGCACCUGCCUUACAAGCAGGGGGUCACUGGUUCAAGUCCAGUUGUGACCA